AACCAGUUUGGGUUUAUGACUGCAAG
rnacentral:piRNA from 1 species